rnacentral:rRNA from 1 species
GGGGACCGCCGGACAGUUCGUGAGGUCUUGGCCCUCUCAAAAGCCAACAUCCCCAAACUAGUCUUCCUCUGUGAGACUAGACAGGAUUCUGUUAAAGUGGAAAAGCUACAUUGGAGACUCGGUUUGAAAGGCUUUCAUGGUGUGAGUAGCGAUGGAAGAAGUGGUGGUUUGGCUCUGUUCUGGGAUGAGUCG